rnacentral:rRNA from 1 species
AGGUGGUUAACAUUCCAGGCUUGUGCUUUUAGAGGGCAUGAUGAAUCUCCGGGAUCCAUUAACGGGGGUAAUUUCCUAGAACUGGUAAAACUUUUGGCUUCUUAUAACAAGUAGGUGAAAGAUGUUGUCUUGGAAAAUGCUCCUGGAAACGCAAAGUACACAUCUCAUCAGGUUCAAGAGGAAAUUCUUGCUAUACUUUCUCGAAAGGUGCAAAGAACAAUUAGAGAAGAAAUUGGUGAUAGCAAAUUUUGUAUAAUGGUUGACGAAGCUCGCGAUGAAUCCAAGACAGAGCAAAUGGCAUUGGUCCUCCGGUUUCCUGACACUGAAGGAUUCAUACAGGAGCGUUUU